rnacentral:rRNA from 1 species
GACGAACGCUGGCGGCGUGCCUAAUACAUGCAAGUAGAACGCUGAAGGAGGAGCUUGCUGCUCUGGAUGAGUUGCGAACGGGUGAGUAACGCGUAGGUAACCUGCCUGGUAGCGGGGGAUAACUAUUGGAAACGAUAGCUAAUACCGCAUAAUAGUAGAUGUUGCAUGACAUUUGCUUAAAAGUUGCACUUGCAUCGCUACCAGAUGGACCUGCGUUGUAUUAGCUAGUUGGUGGGGUAACGGCUCACCAAGGCGACGAUACAUAGCCGACCUGAGAGGGUGAUCGGCCACACUGGGACUGAGACACGGCCCAAACUCCUACGGGGGGCAGCAGUAGGGGAUCUUCGGCAAUGGACGGAAGUCUGACCGAGCAACGCCGCGUGAGUGAAGAAGGUUUUCGGAGCGGAAAGCUCUGUUGUAAGAGAAGAACGAGUGUGAGAGUAGAAAGUUCACGCUGUGACGGUAUCUAACCAGAAAGGGACGGCUAACUACGUG